GACGAACGCUGGCGGCGUGCUUAACACAUGCAAGUCGAACGGAAAGGCCCUGCUUGCAGGGUACUCGAGUGUCGAACGGGUGUGUAACACGUGUGUGUUCUGCCCUGCACUUCGUGUUAUGCCUUUGAAACUCUGUCUAAUACCUGAUAGGAGCCCUUUUUAGUGUUUUUGUUGGUAAGUUUUUUGGGUGUAGGAUGAGCUCGCUGCCUAUCUGCUUGUUGGUGGGGUAAUGGCCUACCAAGGCGGCGUCGGGUAGCCGGCCUGAGAGGGUGGACGGCCACAAUGGGACUGAGAUACGGCCCAGACACCUACGGGAGGGAGGAGUGGGGAAAAUUGCACAAUGGGGGCAAGCCUGAUGCAGCGAAGCCGGGUGGGGGAUGACGGCCUUAGGGUUGUAAAAUCAUUUCGCUAGGGACGAAGCUUUUUGUGACGGUACCUAGAAAAGAAGCACCGGCUAACUACGUG
rnacentral:rRNA from 1 species